rnacentral:rRNA from 1 species
CCUACGGGAGGCUGCAGUCGAGAAUCUUCGGCAAUGGGCGCCAGCCCGACCGAGCGACGCCGCGUGGAGGACGAAGGCCUUCGGGUUGUAAACUCCUGUCGAGGGGGAGCAAGGGGCCGUGAAGAACGGCCCUCGAGCGAUCCCUGGAGGAAGCACGGGCUAAGUUCGUGCCAGCAGCCGCGGUAAGACGAACCGUGCGAACGUUAUUCGGAAUCAUUGGGCUUAAAGGGCGCGUAGACGGAUGACCGCGUCGAGUGCUGAAAUCCCCCGGCUCAACCGGGGAACGGGCCUCGAAACGGGUUGUCUCGAGUGGAGGAGAGGGACCUGGAACGUCCGGUGGAGCGGUGAAAUGCGUUGAGAUCGGACGGAACGCCGACGGCGAAAGCAAGGUCCUGGACUCCAACUGACGUUGAGGCGCGAAAGCCAGGGGAGCGAACGGG